CCGCGUGCCUAAUACAUGCAAGUCGAACGAGUUCUCGUUGAUGAUCGGUGCUUGCACCGAGAUUCAACAUGGAACGAGUGGCGGACGGGUGAGUAACACGUGGGUAACCUGCCCUUAAGUGGGGGAUAACAUUUGGAAACAGAUGCUAAUACCGCAUAGAUCCAAGAACCGCAUGGUUCUUGGCUGAAAGAUGGCGUAAGCUAUCGCUUUUGGAUGGACCCGCGGCGUAUUAGCUAGUUGGUGAGGUAAUGGCUCACCAAGGCGAUGAUACGUAGCCGAACUGAGAGGUUGAUCGGCCACAUUGGGACUGAGACACGGCCCAAACUCCUACGGGAGGCAGCAGUAGGGAAUCUUCCACAAUGGACGCAAGUCUGAUGGAGCAACGCCGCGUGAGUGAAGAAGGCUUUCGGGUCGUAAAACUCUGUUGUUGGAGAAGAAUGGUCGGCAGAGUAACUGUUGUCGGCGUGACGGUAUCCAACCAGAAAGCCACGGCUAACUACGUGCCAGCAGCCGCGGUAAUACGUAGGUGGCAAGCGUUAUCCGGAUUUAUUGGGCGUAAAGCGAGCGCAGGCGGUUUUUUAAGUCUGAUGUGAAAGCCCUCGGCUUAACCGAGGAAGCGCAUCGGAAACUGGGAAACUUGAGUGCAGAAGAGGACAGUGGAACUCCAUGUGUAGCGGUGAAAUGCGUAGAUAUAUGGAAGAACACCAGUGGCGAAGGCGGCUGUCUGGUCUGUAACUGACGCUGAGGCUCGAAAGCAUGGGUAGCGAACAGGAUUAGAUACCCUGGUAGUCCAUGCCGUAAACGAUGAAUGCUAGGUGUUGGAGGGUUUCCGCCCUUCAGUGCCGCAGCUAACGCAUUAAGCAUUCCGCCUGGGGAGUACGACCGCAAGGUUGAAACUCAAAGGAAUUGACGGGGGCCCGCACAAGCGGUGGAGCAUGUGGUUUAAUUCGAAGCAACGCGAAGAACCUUACCAGGUCUUGACAUCUUUUGAUCACCUGAGAGAUCAGGUUUCCCCUUCGGGGGCAAAAUGACAGGUGGUGCAUGGUUGUCGUCAGCUCGUGUCGUGAGAUGUUGGGUUAAGUCCCGCAACGAGCGCAACCCUUAUGACUAGUUGCCAGCAUUUAGUUGGGCACUCUAGUAAGACUGCCGGUGACAAACCGGAGGAAGGUGGGGAUGACGUCAAAUCAUCAUGCCCCUUAUGACCUGGGCUACACACGUGCUACAAUGGAUGGUACAACGAGUUGCGAGACCGCGAGGUCAAGCUAAUCUCUUAAAGCCAUUCUCAGUUCGGACUGUAGGCUGCAACUCGCCUACACGAAGUCGGAAUCGCUAGUAAUCGCGGAUCAGCACGCCGCGGUGAAUACGUUCCCGGGCCUUGUACACACCGCCCGUCACACCAUGAGAGUUUGUAACACCCGAAGCCGGUGGCGUAACCCUUUUAGGGAGCGAGCCGUCUAAGGUGGGACAAAUGAUUAGGGUGAAGUCGUAACAAGGUAGCC
rnacentral:rRNA from 1 species